GUUCACAUGAUGAAUUUAUCUGUUCAACUGCUGGAUGAUUCACAAAUGAACUAAAUUCUAAUUCUGAAGAGA
ensembl:snoRNA small nucleolar RNA SNORD5